GCCCCUUAGGGGUGAGAGGCUCCCAGCUAGACUACUGGGUUGAUAGGCCGGAUGUGGAAGCACAGUAAUGUGUGGAGCUGACCGGUACUAAUAAGCCGAUAACUUGCUACAA
rnacentral:rRNA from 1 species